GACGGGGGAUGCAAGUGUUAUCCGGAAUCACUGGGCGUAAAGCGUCUGCAGGUGGUUUCCUAAGUCCACUGUUAAACCUUGAGGCUCAACCUCAAAUCUGCAUUGGAAACUAGGAGACUUGAGUAUAGUAGGGGUAGAGGGAAUUUCCAGUGGAGCGGUGAAAUGCGUAGAUAUUAGAAAGAACACCGAUGGCGAAGGCACUCUACUGGGCUAUUACUGACACUCAGAGACGAAAGCUAGGGGAGCAAAUGGG
rnacentral:rRNA from 1 species